GGUUGGGCUGUUCGCCCAUUAAAGCGGUACGCGAGCUGGGUUCAGAACGUCGUGAGACAGUUCGGUCCCUAUCCGUCGCGGGCGUAGGAAAUUUGAGAGGAGCUGUCCUUAGUACGAGAGGACCGGGAUGGACGCACCGCUGGUGUACCAGUUGUCCUGCCAAGGGCACCGCUGGGUAGCUAUGUGCGGAAGGGAUAAGCGCUGAAAGCAUCUAAGCGUGAAGCCCCCCUCAAGAUGAGAUUUCCCAUCGCAUAAGCGAGUAAGAUCCCUCGAAGAUGACGAGGUCGAUAGGUCCGAGGUGGAAGCGUGGCGACACGUGCAGCUGACGGAUACUAAUCGAUCGAGGACUUAACCAU
rnacentral:ncRNA from 1 species